AUGUAUGGCCUUAUACAUUGGGAUUUUGCUCCGGGCCUUGCCCUUGCCGAUCAGGUGAGAUGCAGGUUUGGAUCGACGGUUCAUUUCUCUCCUUCUUGAGAUUCCAAGGAGUUCUUUCUGGUGGUCACGUUCUCUUCUGCCUCUUUCCCUCUCUCGGUGGAAUCGGUUGGCAUUGCUUUGCAAUUCUACCUUGGGGGUUUAUGUUCUGGUUUCAAAGUUGCUAAGAUCAAGGAUCGAUCAUUCAGAUUUUCUGUCGCUAACAAUAAGGUUGGACAUUUCAUCUAUGGUUUGAAAGACCAAAUUUGGCUGGAUUUUGUUUUAUCACUUCCAUCUUUACAAUGGUCGGUAUGCUAG
rnacentral:rRNA from 1 species